UUAAGCGACUAAGCGUACACGGUGGAUGCCCUGGCAGUCAGAGGCGAUGAAGGACGUGCUAAUCUGCGAAAAGCGUCGGUAAGGUGAUAUGAACCGUUAUAACCGGCGAUGUCCGAAUGGGGAAACCCAGUGCAAUUCGUUGCACUAUCGUUAACUGAAUACAUAGGUUAACGAGGCGAACCGGGGGAACUGAAACAUCUAAGUACCCCGAGGAAAAGAAAUCAACCGAGAUUCCCCCAGUAGCGGCGAGCGAACGGGGAGCAGCCCAGAGUCUGAAUCAGCUUGUGUGUUAGUGGAACGGUCUGGAAAGUCCGACGGUACAGGGUGAUAGUCCCGUACACCAAAAUGCACAGGUUGUGAACUCGAAGAGUAGGGCGGGACACGUGGUAUCCUGUCUGAAUAUGGGGGGACCAUCCUCCAAGGCUAAAUACUCCUGACUGACCGAUAGUGAACCAGUACCGUGAGGGAAAGGCGAAAAGAACCCCGGCGAGGGGAGUGAAAAAGAACCUGAAACCGUGUACGUACAAGCAGUGGGAGCACCUUCGGGUGUGACUGCGUACCUUUUGUAUAAUGGGUCAGCGACUUAUAUUCUGUAGCAAGGUUAACCGUAUAGGGGAGCCGCAGGGAAACCGAGUCUUAACUGGGCGUUAAGUUGCAGGGUAUAGACCCGAAACCCGGUGAUCUAGCCAUGGGCAGGUUGAAGGUUGGGUAACACUAACUGGAGGACCGAACCGACUAAUGUUGAAAAAUUAGCGGAUGACUUGUGGCUGGGGGUGAAAGGCCAAUCAAACCGGGAGAUAGCUGGUUCUCCCCGAAAGCUAUUUAGGUAGCGCCUCGUGAAUUCAUCUUCGGGGGUAGAGCACUGUUUCGGCUAGGGGGUCAUCCCGACUUACCAACCCGAUGCAAACUACGAAUACCGAAGAAUGUUAUCACGGGAGACACACGGCGGGUGCUAACGUCCGUCGUGAAGAGGGAAACAACCCAGACCGCCAGCUAAGGUCCCAAAGUCAUGGUUAAGUGGGAAACGAUGUGGGAAGGCACAGACAGCCAGGAUGUUGGCUUAGAAGCAGCCAUCAUUUAAAGAAAGCGUAAUAGCUCACUGGUCGAGUCGGCCUGCGCGGAAGAUGUAACGGGGCUAAACCAUGCACCGAAGCUGCGGCAGCGACACUAUGUGUUGUUGGGUAGGGGAGCGUUCUGUAAGCCUGCGAAGGUGACCUGUGAGGGUUGCUGGAGGUAUCAGAAGUGCGAAUGCUGACAUAAGUAACGAUAAAGCGGGUGAAAAGCCCGCUCGCCGGAAGACCAAGGGUUCCUGUCCAACGUUAAUCGGGGCAGGGUGAGUCGACCCCUAAGGCGAGGCCGAAAGGCGUAGUCGAUGGGAAACAGGUUAAUAUUCCUGUACUUGGUGUUACUGCGAAGGGGGGACGGAGAAGGCUAUGUUAGCCGGGCGACGGUUGUCCCGGUUUAAGCAUGUAGGCUGGUUGUCCAGGCAAAUCCGGAUAAUCAAGGCUGAGGUGUGAUGACGAGGCACUACGGUGCUGAAGUAACAAAUGCCCUGCUUCCAGGAAAAGCCUCUAAGCAUCAGGUAACAUCAAAUCGUACCCCAAACCGACACAGGUGGUCAGGUAGAGAAUACCAAGGCGCUUGAGAGAACUCGGGUGAAGGAACUAGGCAAAAUGGUGCCGUAACUUCGGGAGAAGGCACGCUGGUGUGUAGGUGAAGUCCCUGCGGAUGGAGCUGAGACCAGUCGAAGAUACCAGCUGGCUGCAACUGUUUAUUAAAAACACAGCACUGUGCAAACACGAAAGUGGACGUAUACGGUGUGACGCCUGCCCGGUGCCGGAAGGUUAAUUGAUGGGGUUAUCCGUAAGGAGAAGCUCUUGAUCGAAGCCCCGGUAAACGGCGGCCGUAACUAUAACGGUCCUAAGGUAGCGAAAUUCCUUGUCGGGUAAGUUCCGACCUGCACGAAUGGCGUAAUGAUGGCCAGGCUGUCUCCACCCGAGACUCAGUGAAAUUGAACUCGCUGUGAAGAUGCAGUGUACCCGCGGCAAGACGGAAAGACCCCGUGAACCUUUACUAUAGCUUGACACUGAACAUUGAGCCUUGAUGUGUAGGAUAGGUGGGAGGCUUUGAAGCGUGGACGCCAGUCUGCGUGGAGCCAACCUUGAAAUACCACCCUUUAAUGUUUGAUGUUCUAACGUUGGCCCCUUACCGGGGUUGCGGACAGUGUCUGGUGGGUAGUUUGACUGGGGCGGUCUCCUCCCAAAGCGUAACGGAGGAGCACGAAGGUUAGCUAAUCCUGGUCGGACAUCAGGAGGUUAGUGCAAUGGCAUAAGCUAGCUUGACUGCGAGCGUGACGGCGCGAGCAGGUGCGAAAGCAGGUCAUAGUGAUCCGGUGGUUCUGAAUGGAAGGGCCAUCGCUCAACGGAUAAAAGGUACUCCGGGGAUAACAGGCUGAUACCGCCCAAGAGUUCAUAUCGACGGCGGUGUUUGGCACCUCGAUGUCGGCUCAUCACAUCCUGGGGCUGAAGUAGGUCCCAAGGGUAUGGCUGUUCGCCAUUUAAAGUGGUACGCGAGCUGGGUUUAGAACGUCGUGAGACAGUUCGGUCCCUAUCUGCCGUGGGCGCUGGAGAAUUGAGGGGGGCUGCUCCUAGUACGAGAGGACCGGAGUGGACGCAUCACUGGUGUUCGGGUUGUCAUGCCAAUGGCACUGCCCGGUAGCUAAAUGCGGAAGAGAUAAGUGCUGAAAGCAUCUAAGCACGAAACUUGCCCCGAGAUGAGUUCUCCCUGAGACUUUAAGUCUCCUGAAGGAACGUUAAAGACGAUGACGUUGAUAGGCCGGGUGUGUAAGCGCAGCGAUGCGUUGAGCUAACCGGUACUAAUGAACCGUGAGGCUUAACCUU
rnacentral:rRNA from 5 species